rfam:Triticum aestivum genome assembly, contig: Triticum_aestivum_CS42_TGACv1_scaffold_093131_2AL
CUUAUACCCCCUCCGUCCGGAAAUACUUGUCAUCAAAAUGGAUAAAAGGGUAUGUAUAUAGACGCAUUUUAGUUCUAGAUACAUAUCUUUUCAUCCAUUUUGAUGACAAGUAUUUUCGGACGGAGGGAGUAUCUU